rnacentral:lncRNA from 1 species
CUUGAGUGUGACGGUGAAUCCAGAGAGCUCAGCCUUUCUGUGCAUCAACAGAGCGUUGAAAAGCUCCUGCUGUGAGUUCCAUGUUUGUUCUUUCUCUGCUGUUUUCCUGCUGAUGGACGUCACCUUCACUCCUCGGCUUCAUCCAGAUUCUUUUCUCCAUCAGGAGGUGUGAGCUCUGCUAUGAGUCAGUGUGAGGACAGAGAGGAGGGAGUCCCUCCCUCUAAAAGCCCUCUGUGUGGGGACCAUGAGAGCCGGACCAAAGCUCAGAGGUAAGAGGACCGUCUCUG